AAGAUCAGCCAGUGUGAGAUCAUGACAAGGACUCCAUCAGGUCAUAAAGCUCCAGUUUUCACCCUCCAGCCUCCUGAACCUCAGAGCAGAGACGACUUUUUAAAAUACUUCUGUCCCCUCACACUGAACAUCAACACGGCACACAGAGACCUCCAUCUGUCUGAAGGAAACAAGAAGGUGACAUGUGAGGG